UACGUAGGGUGCGAGCGUUAAUCGGAAUUACUGGGCGUAAAGCGUGCGCAGGCGGUUGUGCAAGACAGAUGUGAAAUCCCCGGGCUUAACCUGGGAACUGCAUUUGUGACUGCACGGCUAGAGUGUGUCAGAGGGGGGUAGAAUUCCACGUGUAGCAGUGAAAUGCGUAGAGAUGUGGAGGAACACCGAUGGCGAAGGCAGCCCCCUGGGUCAAAACUGACGCUCAUGCACGAAAGCGUGGGGAGCAAACAGG
rnacentral:rRNA from 1 species